rnacentral:lncRNA from 1 species
AUCUCCCUACUUUCCCUCCUUUAAACUCUAACCCUAUACUCGCCCCCCCUUAACCCCACGCGCUCACCUUCUCCGGCGGCUUUCUCCGACGGCUUUCUCUGACGUUCUGAUUCGAUUCGAUGCUGUUAGUAUUUUUUCACAUUUUUUUAUUUGCGUCGGAAAAGUUUUUAUCCUAUUGCUGUACUGUGCUUUAAAGGCAUAAUCUUUUUACUUUCAGAUUCAAAAUCAUCGAGGUGUUGAUUCGGCUUGCUCUUAAUUUCAUUGUUUAUCAUUACAUUGUUGUGAUUAUUAUAAUGUUAUUGUAGAUGAAUUAAAAUGGUUGGCGGCGGUAGAAAGAACGCGAACAAGUGUUACCCGGAAAAGGAUACUUCGAUUUUUGACGAUACACAACCAGUGGACACUCAAAUUUCACCAGAGACAUUACCAG